rnacentral:rRNA from 1 species
AUUGAACGCUGGCGGCAGGCUUAACACAUGCAAGUCGAGCGGAGAUGAGGUGCUUGCACCUUAUCUUAGCGGCGGACGGGUGAGUAAUGCUUAGGAAUCUGCCUAUUAGUGGGGGACAACAUUCCGAAAGGAAUGCUAAUACCGCAUACGCCCUACGGGGGAAAGCAGGGGAUCUUCGGACCUUGCGCUAAUAGAUGAGCCUAAGUCGGAUUAGCUAGUUGGUGGGGUAAAGGCCUACCAAGGUGACGAUCUGUAGCGGGUCUGAGAGGAUGAUCCGCAACACUGGGACUGAGACACGGCCCAGACUCCUACGGGAGGCAGCAGUGGGGAAUAUUGGACAAUGGGCGGAAGCCUGAUCCAGCCGUGCCGCGUGUGUGAAGAAGGCCUUUUGGUUGUAAAGCACUUUAAGCGAGGAGGAGGCUACCUGGAUUAAUACUCUAGGAUAGUGGACGUUACUCGCAGAAUAAGCACCGGCUAACUCUGUGCCAGCCGCCGCGGUAAUAC